UGCUUCCCAAGGCCACAUGCUUCUUUAUAUCCCCAUAUGGAUUACUUUGCUAUGGAAUGUAAGGAAGUGUGUGGUUUCGGUAAGUG
ensembl:miRNA